rnacentral:rRNA from 1 species
AAUCAACGCUGGCGGCGUGCCUAACACAUGCAAGUCGAACGCGAAAGGGGGCUUCGGCUCCUAAGUAGAGUGGCGUCCGGGUGAGUAACACGUAGGUAAUCUGCCUUCGGGUGGGGAAUAACCAGUCGAAAGAUUGGCUAAUACCGCAUAAUGCAGCGGCACCUAUAAGGUGAUUAGUUGUUAAAGCGGGGGAUCGUAAGACCUCGCGCCUGAAGAGGAGCCUGCGGCAGAUUAGCUAGUUGGUGAGGUAAUGGCUCACCAAGGCUUCGAUCUGUAGCUGGUCUGAGAGGACGGCCAGCCACACUGGCACUGACACACGGGCCAGACUCCGUACGGGAGGCAGCAGUGGGGAAUUUUGGGCAAGUGGGCGAAAGCCUGACCCAGCAACGCCGCGUGAGGG